CGCGUUUUGGGAACUCACUGGCUCCUGAUCCCUAAGAACUCCGAAGUUAAGUGAGUUUGAGCAAGAGCAGUCCUAAGAUGGGUGACCCCCUAGGAAGUUCUCAUGUCGAAACCCAAGAACAAAUCUAUAAGGGCGUGGCCCAAAGUGAACAAUAUCGUGUUACGGCGGAGCCGAGCUGGGAUGUGACAAUUUGGUAUCAGAGCCAAACUCACCGUCUAUUCUAGUGUGCUGAUGAGGACGUCGGGCUCCCAAGGGGGUGGAUUGUGAGAUCCCACAUCGGCAGGGUGAGUUGGUCCCUGGCUUUAUAUGUACAUGCUCACCUUCCAUUGCAAGACGCGUUUUGGGAACUCACUAGCUCCGGAUCCCAUAAGAACUCUGAAGUUAAGUGAGUUUGAGCGAGACCAAUCCUAGGAUGGGUGACCCCUCCUCCCUAGGGGAAGUUCUCGUGUUGAAACCC
rnacentral:sRNA from 1 species